GAUUAAGAGGGAAAACACUUUGACCAGAGCACCUUCAUCAUGACUUGUCUUCAUGCUGAGCCGUACCUCAGCACUGCUACGUGCAGUAAACUGUCAUCCUCUGGUGACUUUGAAUGAGGUGGCAACUGGAAAUGAGGACAUGGACACCUCAGAUACAUUUGACAGUGAUCUUGACGUCUCCGACGUAAAUGAGGCAGCCAACGAAAACUUGGGCAUUGACAGACAUGAUACAUUCUUCCUAUUUGGAGAUAUUGCUAUGGAAACUGGGAUUCGGAAUGCUUCUCCAUGCACGGCUCGAGAUUGCAAGUGGCCUAAAAAAGCAAGAAUGGGGUUGUGCCUGUGUAUAUCUCCUCUUUGUAUACUUUAGAGGAGCAAGAUAUCAUCAUAAAAGGACUGAUCUCCAUCCACCGGUCUACCUGUAUCCAAUAUGUGUGGUGGAAGCGGCAUCAAGAUUAUAUUGUAUUUCCACCCUGGAAAUGGGUGUUACAAGUAGACGUUCAAGUGAAAAGGGAAUUCGUAUAAUGCAGAUUUGUCUCCAGUCGUUGUCUUUCCUGACACAGUACAGUUAAUAUCGAAGAUAAGACUGCCUGUGUGCUUUGCUCCUUGUCUCUAAGGUGCUGAUUAUAUUUGGGACAUCGAGGUGGUCAGCAGGUGAUCUCCUUACAGCAGCGUGGCUGUGUCCAUCAUGGUGCAGUCCAGCAUGAAGACAUGCAUGCUCUGGGCUUCCACCAUAAGCAGAACUGCGGUGACCGGGACAAUAAUGUCACCGUUGUCACAGAGAACAUCAGCAAAGGUGGAAACCAAUAAUUUGAUGAUUCCGUAUGACUACACCUCUGUGAUGCACUAUGGAAGGUAUGCAUUCGCUAAAGGUUAUGGUAAGCUGCCAACUAUCAUUCCAAAGCCAGACUCUAGUGUUCAGAUCGGAGGGGCCCGACAGAUGAGUCGCCAGGACAUCGUGAGGGUCAAUAGGUUGUACAACUGCAGAGAGUAUUGGGCUUUAUUAUGUUAUAUCUUACAAUGGAAAAUACAUGUUUUCUUUCAAUCGUGCAUUUCAUAUCAUGAGAAUAAAUGUUUUGUUUUUUUGUGAACUUUGUCAGCACUGCUGAUGUUGUGCCUUUUAAUGUUUUUUUUUGUAUGUUCACCCCAAUAGGAGGACACUUGAAUAAAUGAAUUUAGAAGACUACAUCAGAUAUUUCAACCAACAACUAUUUGAAAUCAAAUCAAAUGGCAGCUAAUCAAUUAGCUUUCUGGAUGAGGUCAAAUUCACUUUGCACAAUACUCAUCGCUUUAUGUUGUGUUGUGGAUGCUUCACCACCCAGUUGGUUGCAAUAACAGUGUCUUUUUGACACUGUUAUAGAUAUUAUUUUGGGUGAUUGAGACAUUCAGUACUCAAUGUUCUAUUGCGUUGGUUGUGUGGUUAAUGUUAAUGUGAUUUCAUAUCCUGUGUUUCCCCCAUUUAUUAGCAUUCAGAAUCUUGACGGUUACUGCACUGCCUUCAUAUUUGCUCAAUAAAAGCUCACU